UAAUUGGUGGUGUUUUCAGAGAUUCUC
rnacentral:piRNA from 1 species